rnacentral:tRNA from 1 species
AUUAAAAUAGUUUAAAUUUCCAAACAAGGAGUUGUGGGUUCCUAGAUCCCUYUUGGGKUUUUAAUU